AUACUUUAGCAACACAUAUACUAAAACCGGAAUAAUACACAGUAUAUUAGCAUGGUUCUUGUGCAAAGAUGGCACUCAAAUUGAAAAGUGUUCCAUAUUUUA
ensembl:snRNA U6 U6 spliceosomal RNA